rnacentral:tRNA from 1 species
ACCUGGGUGGCUCAGUCGGUUAAGCAUCUGACUUCAGCUCAGGUCAUGAUCUCACGGUGCAUGGGUUUGAGCCCCACCUCAAGCU